GGCCCCAUCGUCUAGAGGCCUAGGACAGGUGGUUCUCAGCCAUCAGACACGGGUUCGACUCCCGUUGGGGCUA
rnacentral:tRNA from 1 species